rnacentral:rRNA from 1 species
GACGAACGCUGGCGGCGUGCUUAACACAUGCAAGUCGAACGAUGAAGCCUAGCUUGCUAGGUGGAUUAGUGGCGAACGGGUGAGUAAUACGUGAGUAACCUACCUUUAACUCUGGGAUAAGCCUGGGAAACUGGGUCUAAUACCGGAUACGACCAAUCUCCGCAUGGGGUGUUGGUGGAAAGCGUUAUGUAGUGGUUAUAGAUGGGCUCACGGCCUAUCAGCUUGUUGGUGAGGUAACGGCUCACCAAGGCGACGACGGGUAGCCGGCCUGAGAGGGUGACCGGCCACACUGGGACUGAGACACGGCCCAGACUCCUACGGGAGGCAGCAGUGGGGAAUAUUGCACAAUGGGCGCAAGCCUGAUGCAGCGACGCCGCGUGAGGGAUGACGGCCUUCGGGUUGUAAACCUCUGUUAGCAGGGAAGAAGAGAGAUUGACGGUACCUGCAGAGAAAGCGCCGGCUAACUACGUGCCAGCAGCCGCGGUAAUACGUAGGGCGCGAGCGUUGUCCGGAAUUAUUGGGCGUAAAGAGCUUGUAGGCGGUUUGUCGCGUCUGCUGUGAAGGCCGGAGCUUAACUCCGUGUAUUGCAGUGGGUACGGGCAGACUAGAGUGCAGUAGGGGAGACUGGAAUUCCUGGUGUAGCGGUGGAAUGCGCAGAUAUCAGGAGGAACACCGAUGGCGAAGGCAGGUCUCUGGGCUGUAACUGACGCUGAGAAGCGAAAGCAUGGGGAGCGAACAGGGUUAGAUACCCUGGUAGUCCAUGCCGUAAACGUUGGGCACUAGGUGUGGGGGACAUUCCACGUUUUCCGCGCCGUAGCUAACGCAUUAAGUGCCCCGCCUGGGGAGUACGGCCGCAAGGCUAAAACUCAAAGAAAUUGACGGGGGCCCGCACAAGCGGCGGAGCAUGCGGAUUAAUUCGAUGCAACGCGAAGAACCUUACCAAGGCUUGACAUAUACUGGACCGCAUCAGAGAUGGUGUUUCCCUUCGGGGCUGGUAUACAGGUGGUGCAUGGUUGUCGUCAGCUCGUGUCGUGAGAUGUUGGGUUAAGUCCCGCAACGAGCGCAACCCUCGUUCUAUGUUGCCAGCACGUUAUGGUGGGGACUCAUAGGAGACUGCCGGGGUCAACUCGGAGGAAGGUGGGGAUGACGUCAAAUCAUCAUGCCCCUUAUGUCUUGGGCUUCACGCAUGCUACAAUGGCCGGUACAGAGGGUUGCGAUACUGUGAGGUGGAGCUAAUCCCUAAAAGCCGGUCUCAGUUCGGAUUGGGGUCUGCAACUCGACCCCAUGAAGUCGGAGUCGCUAGUAAUCGCAGAUCAGCAACGCUGCGGUGAAUACGUUCCCGGGCCU